UGAAUUAUAGUUUAAUGGUUAGAGCAUUAGCUUGUCGAGCUAAAAGUAUGAGUUCAAAUCUCAUUUAUUCAG
rnacentral:tRNA from 1 species